GGAUCAGGUACGAACGCUUGGCGCGUGCUUAACACAUGCAGUCGAACGGUGGAAGGGUGGGAGCUUGCUCCUGCUGGAUCAGUGGCGAACGGGUGAGUUAACACGUGAGUAACCUUGCCCUUGACUCUGGGAUAAGCGUUGGAAACGACGUCUAAUACCGGAUACGAGCUUCAGCCGCAUGGCUAGGGAGUUUGGAAAGAAUUUCGGUCAAGGAUGGACUCGCGGCCUAUCAGCUUAGUUGGUGAGGUAAUGGCUCACCAAGGCGAACGACGGGUAGCCGGCCUGAAGAGGGUGACCGGCCACACUGGGACUGAGACACGGCCCAGACUCCUACGGGAGGCAGCAGUGGGGAAUAUUGCACAAUGGGCGCAAGCCUGAUGCAGCAACGCCGCGUGAGGGAUGACGGCCUUCGGGUUGUAAACCUCUUUUAGUAGGGAAGAAGCGCAAGUGACGGUACCUGCAGAAAAAGCACCGGCUAACUACGUGCCAGCAGCCGCGGUAAUACGUAGGGUGCAAGCGUUGUCCGGAAUUAUUGGGCGUAAAGAGCUCGUAGGCGGCUUGUCGCGUCUGCUGUGAAAACCCGAGGCUCAACCUCGGGCUUGCAGUGGGUACGGGCAGGCUAGAGUGCGGUAGGGGAGAUUGGAAUUCCUGGUGUAGCGGUGGAAUGCGCAGAUAUCAGGAGGAACACCAAUGGCGAAGGCAGAACUCUGGGCCGUAACUUGACGCUGAGGAGCGAAAGCAUGGCGGAGCGAAACAGGGAUUAGAUACCCCUGGUAGUCCAUGCCGUAAACGUUGGGAACUAGAUGUAAGGGCCUGUUCCACGGGUUUCUGUGUCGUAGCUAACGCAUUAAGUAUCCCCGCCUGGGGAGUACGGCCGCAAGACUAAAACUCAAAUGAAUUGAG
rnacentral:rRNA from 1 species